rnacentral:lncRNA from 1 species
ACUAACUGCAACCUCAAAUUCCUCUUUUGAGACACUUCUGAGACUCUGCCAAAGCAGUGCUCUCCUAUGUUCAACACAUUUAAUAAAUUCGGCUUCAUAUGGUCAACAGCUUUCACUAAUGGUCUUUGUAAGGAGACUUCAUGAUGCCCAGGAAAGUGCCUAGACUUUUAAAGUGAAAACAUGGAGUUUGGUGUGGCUGAAGCUGAGUGAAUAAGAAGGAGUAUAGUGGGAAAUAACGUGAGAAGAUUUGUAAAGAAAGAAAGAAAGAAAGAAAGAAAGAAAUUAUAUUCUCCCAGUUUCUGGUCUAACAUGUAAGGAGCUUGGAUGUCACCACUCCACCCUAAUAAAUGUGGAGAUGAACGAACUGAAAAAUCAACUCUUCUUGGAUCUGCAAGAGAAGUGAGGAUUCAGGGCAAACCAGUGCCCCCAGGAUUGGAAAGACAAAUAGGCAAAGACAGAGAGUCAUGGCUUACUGGAGUACCGAUUCAUGAACUGAAACAUGGGAACAAGUGCUGGGGUAGGAAAAACGGAACUGUAAUUGACUAAUUGCUGGAAACUUAGUGUGGACAAGUAUGAUAGACAAAAGCUUCCGGUAGACCUAGUCAUAGGGGAGCCCAUACAAUUUUGUGAGUUUUAUCUCCUGGAAAACUACUGAGUUCUCAUAGUCAGUACCUGAGAAAAAUCCCCUCAUGAUUCCUGCGGUUGGAAGAGUAAAGGAACCAUCUUGAAAUAUGUCAGAUAAUUAUUUCCUGAGCAAGGUUUGCCCUCAGAAGAAAGUAUUUAACUAGAGCUAACUUAUCUGGGAAAAGGGAAAUAUUUAAUUCCAGCUGGCUCUAGCCUUCCACUUGUAAGAAGAGAAAUACUAAACUCAAGCCCACUCUAGUCAUUAAGGGGUAAGGGGAGAAGAUUGAGAAGCACUUGUGAAGUUUAGUCCUGAGACACACGCUUACUAAAAGACUGAAACCUAAUCAUAGGACUGUAGAAUGCUUUCCCUCCCUACACUCUACCAGCACAUUACUAAAGUUCUGUUUACAGCAGUAUCUUUUACCCAACACAUCAUGUCUGGCUACAUAGAAAAAAUUACCAGGCAUACUAAAAGGCAAAAAAUACAGUUGGAGGAGACAGAGCAGUCUCCUCAGAAUGAGACAGAUACGGCAGAGAUACUGGAAUGAUCAGAUUGGGAUUUUCAAACAACUAUAAUUAAUAUGCUAAAGGCUCUUAUAGAUAUAGGAGACAGAACACAAGAACAAAUAGGCAAUGUAAGCAGAGAGAUGGAAAUUCUAAAAAAACCUUAAACGUUAGAGAUCAAAAACACUAUAACACAAAUGAAGAAUGCCUUUGAUGGAUUAAUUGGUAAAGUGGACAUAGAGGAAGAAUCUCUGAGAAUGAGGAUAUCUCAAUGGAAACCUCCAAAGCUGAAAAGGAAAGAGAAAAAAAGACUUAAAAAUGCCCAGAAUAUGCAAUAGCCAUGGGAAACUACAAAAGGUGUAAAAUACAGGUAAUGUGCAUAACAGAAUAAGAAAAAAGAGAGAAAGAAACAAAUGUUUGAAACAACAAUUUCUGAAAACUUCCCCAAAUUAAUGUCAGACACCAAAACACAGAUAUGGGAAGUUUAGAGGACACCAAACAGAGUAAGUGCCCCCAAGCCCACACACCCAGGUAUGUCAUAUUCAAACUACAGAAAAUCAAAGAUAAAGAAAAAAUCAUGAAAGAAGCUAGAGGGCGGGGAAACAUACGCUUAGAGGCCAAAGAUAAGAAUUACAUCUGACUUUCAGAAACCAGGCAAGGAAAAAAACUAAAAGCAAAAACAAAAUAUUUAAAAUAUAUUUAAAGUGUGAAGUUAAAUAUUUAAAGUGUUAAGAGUAAAAACCCACCAACCUAGAAUUCCAUUCCCUGAAAAACUAUUCUUUAAAAGUGAGGGAGAAAUAAAAAUCUUUUCAGAUAAACAAAAAUUGAGGGAAUUUGCUGCUAAUAGAUCUACCUUGUAAGAAAUGUUUUUAAAAAGUUAUUUAGAAAAUAGGAAAAAGAUACAGGUCAUAAACUCAUGUCUACAUUAGAGAUUAAAUAAUUGAAGGUAAAAUAAAACUUUUAUUUUUCUUAUUACUAAUUGUUCUAACAGAUUUUGUUCCAAAUAAUAAUGACAACAAUGUAUUUGAUUAUGUAUGUUUAUGUGUAUAUAUGACAUAUAUAAUGUAUGUAUAAUAGAUUAUAUAUAUGCUUAUAUACCGUGAAAUGAAUUACAUCAACGAUACAAGGGAUGGGAGAGAGGAAUUAGAAUUAUUUUGUUAUUAUAAAGUAUUUACGCUUCCCAUGAAAUGGUAUAAUAUAGAGUUAUUUGAAAGUGAAUUUGGAUUACUUGUAAAUGCUUAUUGGAAACUCUAUGGCAACUACUAAAAAAAAAUUAAGAGAAUAAUAUAUAGUUUCAACUUGUUAGAAGGAGGAUGUCGAAUGUUCCCAAUACAAAGAAAUGAUAAACAUUUGAGAUGCUAGAUAUGCUAAUUACCUUGAUCUGAUUACUAUAAAAUAUAUGUAUUAAAAUAACACUAAGUACCCCGUAAGUAUGAAUAAUCAUUAUUUGUUGAUUAAACGAUACAAUUUAAAAAGCAAAAAAGAAGUAUAACUGAUGUACUAAGAAAAGAGAUAGCGUGGAAUUAUAUAAGAUACUCAAAACCACUUUUGUGGUAUUUUGCCUUUUGGCAGAGAGAGUGAAAGACAAAUGUAAGAAAAAUGAAUAAGAGCAACACAGAAGAAACAGUAACAAUUAUGGUAGAUUUUAAUCCAAUCAUAUUAAUAUUACUUUGAAUUUCAGUGGUCUAAGUACACCUAUUAAAAGACAGAGAUUGUCAGAGUAUAUCAAUAAACAAGACCCAACUAUAAGUUGUCUAUAAGAAACCCACUUUAAAUAUAAAGACACAUAUAGAUUAAAAGAAAAUCGAUGAAGAAAGGUUUGCUGUGCCAACACUAAUGAAAAGAAAUUAAGAAUACCUAUUUUCAUUUCAGACAGAGCAGACUUCAGAGCAAAGGAAGUUAUCAUGAAUAAAGAGGGGCAUUACUUAAUGAUAAAGGGGUCAUUUCUCCAAGAAAAUACAACAAUUCUUAAUGAAUAUGUGCUUAAUAAGUAUGCAUCAUUGCAACAAAGUGUCAAAAUACAUGAGAAAAAAUGUUAUAAAAUCACAAAAAGAAAUAGAGGAUUCCACUAUUAUAGCUCUUCUAUUAGAAAUGGACAGAUUCAGCAGGCAUAAAAUCAGAAAGCACAUAGUUGAACUGAACAACACUAUCAAACAAAUGGAUAUAAUUGACAAUCUAUAGAUUAUUUAACUUAACAACUGCAGAAUACACAUUCUUCUUAAGCUUAUGUGGAACAUUCACCAAGAGAGAUCACAUUCUGAACCACAGAACACACUUUAACAAAUUGAAAGAAUAGAAAACAAAUGGCUGCUCUAAAACUACAAUUGAAUUUAACUAGCAGUCAAUAACAGAAAGAUAACUGGAAAAUCCCAGAACACUCGGAGGUUAAGCAACACGCUUCUAAGUAAUACAUGGGUGAAAGAAGUCUCAAGAGAAAAUUUUAAAUUAUUUUUAACUAAAUGAAAAUGAAAACACAACAUAUAAAAAUUUGUGGGAUAUAGUAUAAGCACUACUUAGAGAAAAAUUAUAGCAUUAAGUGUACAUAUUAGGAAAGAAGAAAGAUCUAAAAUCAAUAAUUUAAGAUUCUCCCUUAGAAAAUUAGAAAAGAAGAGCAAAUUUAAUUCAAAGAGAAGAAAUCCAACAAAAAUCAAUAAAAUUGAAAAUUGAGAAGCAAUAGAGAAAAACGAAGAAAACAAUAGCUGACUUUGUUGAUCUUUAAGAAGAUCAAUAUAUCAAUAACCCCCUAACCAGUCUAAAAAAAAAGAGAGAAGGGAAAAAAAUGACUAAUAGCAGAAAUGAAAGAGGAGUAUUACUGUGGAUUCCAUGGAUAUUAAAUGGAAGGUAAAGGAGUACUAUGAAGAGCUCUAUGCCCUUAGAUUUGAUAAUUCACAUAAAAUUAAUCAAUUCCUCAAAAGACACAAUCAGCAAAACUUACACAAAGAGAAAUAAGUGAUCUGAAUAGGCUUCUAUGUAUUAGAAUACUUAAUUAACAACUUUCCAAAGGAAAAAGCAUCAGGUCCAGAUUGGUUCACUGGUGAAUUAUAAACAACAUUUAAGAAAGAAAUUAUACCAUCUCUUUCAGAAUAUACAAUCUCUUUCAGAAGACAGAAGCAAAGAGAAUACUUUCUAACUCACCUUAUUAGACCAGAGUUACCCUAAUACCAAGACUUGACGAUGACAUUACAAGAAAAUACUGCAGAUCAAAAUCUUUCAGGAACAUAGGUGCAGAAAUUCUCAACAAAAUAUUAUGGAAUCCAACAAUGCAUGAAAAACACUACACCACAACCAAAUGGUAUUUAUCCCAGGUAUGCAAAACUGGUCCAACAUUGAAAAAUGAACUAAUGUAAUCCAUCAUAUCAAGAGGCUAAUACAAAUCACAUACUCAUAGAUGCAGAAAAAGCAUUUGAUAACAUCUGACGCUCAUUCAUGAUGAAAACUCCCAGUAACAUAUAACCUGCAGAAUGAGAGAAAGUAUUUGAAAACUAUGCAUCUGACAAAAGUCUAAUAUCCAGCAUCUAUAUGGAGCUUAAACAAAUUUACAAGGAAAAACAACCCCAUUAAAAAGGGGGUGAAAAAGAUAAACAGAGACUUUUCAAAAGAAGACACAGAUGCAGCAAACAAGCGUAUUUUAAAAAGCUCCAUAUCCACAUGCUUACCUGUGUAACAAACCUGCAGAUCCUGCACAUGUACCCCAUAAUUUAAAAUUUAAAAAAAGCUCCAUAUCAUUGAUGAUUAUAGAAAUGCAAAUCAAAACCACAAUGAGAUACCAUCUCACACCAGUAAGAGUGACUAUUAUUAAAAAGUCAAAAUGUAACAGAUGAUGGUGAGCUUGCCGAAAAAAGGGAAUGCUUAUACACUGAUGGUGGGAGUGUAAAUUAGUUCAACCAUUGUGGAAAGCAGUGUGGUGAUUCCUCAAAUAGCUAAAAAUGGAACUAUCAUUUGACCCAGCAAUCCCAUUACUGAGUAUAUACCCAAACGAAUAUAAAUCAUUCUACCAUAAAGACACAUGCACACAUAUGUUCAUUGCAACACUAUUCACAAUAAUUCCAAAAACAUGGAAUCAACCUAAAUGCCCAUCAAUAGCAGACUGGAUAAAGAAAAUGUGGUAUGUAUACAUGAUGGAAUACUAUGCAGCCAUAAAAAGAAUGAGAUCACAUCUUUUACAGGAACAUGGAUGGAGCUGGAGGUCAUUAUCCAUAGCAAACUAAUGCAGGAACAAAGAAACAAAUAUUGUGUGUUCUCACGUGUAAGUGGAAGUUAAUGAUGAGAACACAUUGACACUAAAAGGAGAACAAUAGACACUGGAGCCUGAGGGUGAAGGUUGGGAGGAGGGAGAGAAUUAGAAAAAAAUAACUAUUGGGUACUAGGCUUAGUGUCUUGGUGAUGAAAUAAUCUGUAAAGCAAACUCCUGUGACACAAAUUUACUUGUAUAACAAACCUGCAUAUAUACUCCUGAACCUAAAAUAAAAUUUAAAAAAAAAACGAGUAAAAUAGGAAUACAGGGAAACUUCUUCAACUUGAUAAAGAAUAUCUACAAAAAAUCCUGCAACUAACAUAAUUCUUUUUGGUAAAAACUACAAGUUUUCCCACUAAGAUCAGGAACAAAGCAAGGAUGUACCUUCUUACCAUUGCUUGUCAACAUCAUACUGGAAGUACAAGCUAAUGCAAUAAGACAAGACAAUAAAGGAAGAGGAUACAUAUUGAAAAGAAAGAAGCAAAACGGUCUUUGUUUGCAGCCGACAUGAUUGCCUAUGCAGAAAAUCUGAAAUAAUUGACAAAAACUUCUGGAACUAAUAAAUGAUUAUAACAAGGUUGUAGGAUACGGGGUUAACAUAUAAAAGUCAAUAGCUUUCUAUGUACCAGAAAUGAACAAAUGGAAUUUGAAAUUAAAAACACAAUACCAUUUACAAAACACUCCUGAAAAUGAAAUGCGUAGAUAUAAAUCUAACAAAUGAGAAAAAUGAGAGAACAUAGAAAAAGGUCUAACUAAAUGGAGAGUUAUUCCAUGUUAACUGAGAGAAAGACUCAAUAUUGUCAAGAUGGCAGUUGUUUCAAACAAUCUAUAG